rnacentral:lncRNA from 1 species
GAUGGGGCGAAGGAGGAAAAGUUCUUUUUGCGGCACCCUCACGCCUUCCCAGCCCUUUCGCGGUUUACUCGCUCCCCGGAAAGCAGGGCAUUCAAGCAGCCCUGAGGAGAGGUCCACAUGGUGAGCCACUGAGGGCCUUGCCAAGAGCCAGCACCAACGGUCCAGGUUUGGAGUGUACCACCUUGGAAGUGAAUCUUCCAGUCCAGUCAAGCCUUCAGAUGACUUCAGAACCGUCCAUGUAAGCCACUCUUGGAUUCCUGACCCACAGAAACUGUUGGAGCUGCCAAUUUGCAGGAAAUAGAGGAGAGAAGCAUCUGUUGAACUGCACCAUGAGUAUACACUCAGCAAAGGCCAAACUGUGGAAAAUGAUACAGGUCAAACAGCCUGGAUUCUUUAACAGUAAGUGAUGUUUCUGAAGCACCAAUGAAAAUGAAGUCCUGAAGUCCUGUGCUCAAUAUGAAAUGUUGGAAGUUAGAAGAAAAAAACAAAACUUGGAUCCAAUCUCAAGGCACUUUUUGUUUAAUGGGAAGAAGUGGAUUAUUUUAAAAGCUACAAAUAAAGUUACAUAAAAGUA